GAGGUAGAAGAAGAGCAUGCAGCCCUGCUUACUUUGAAUUUUUUUUUGCCAAACUAAAAGAAGAAAAUCUCUGAAGAAGCUGAAGUGAGUGGCCUUGAAAGGAUCAAAAUUGGAUUUGGAGCAUUACCACACCCUGCAAAUCUUGACCUUAGCAGUCUCUGAAGACUUUUCACAGUGUUCUUUCACUUCCUACAUUCCUACACUGGAGUGCAAGGUGCUGUUAGAGAAGUGAAUACUGUGAAUGUUCUGUUACUGUACGUAUGUGACAUUUAGACCAAAACUUACAAAAGUGCCCUGGGUUCGGCUGUAACAGAAGCAGAGACCACGUUCUUUGUAGUAAGCUUUGGUACAUUUCAUUUGUUGUGCACCCAUCUAAUAAAGCCCUGUAGUCUGA